UACAGAGGUGCCAAGCGUUAGGCGGAAUCACUGGGCUUAAAGCGCGUGUAGGCGGGUCGUAAGUGUCUUGUGAAAUCCCACGGCUCAACCGUGGAACUGCUGGGCAUACUGACGAUCUUGAGGCACUCAGGGGCUGUCGGAACAAAUGGUGGAGCGGUGAAAUGCGUAGAUAUCAUUUGGAACGCCACGGUGAAAACAGACAGCUGGGGGUGUCCUGACGCUGAGACGCGAAAGCCAGGGGAGCGAACGGG
rnacentral:rRNA from 1 species